AGCAGCCGCGGUAAUUCCAGCUCCAAUAGCGUAUAUUAAAGUUGCUGCAGUUAAAAAGCUCGUAGUUGAAUUUCGGGACCAAUAUGUCGGUCGUGCCUCGGUACGUACUGGCAUCGUUGGUUUCUCCCUUCUGACGAACCAUGAUGUCAUUCAUUUGGUGUCGUGGGGAAUCAGGACUGUUACUUUGAAAAAAUUAGAGUGUUUAAAGCAGGCUCACGCUUGAAUACAUUAGCAUGGAAUAAUGAAAUAGGACGUUUGAUUCUAUUUUGUUGGUUUCUAGGAUCGACGUAAUGAUUAAUAGGGAUAGUUGGGGGCAUUAGUAUUCAAUUGUCAGAGGUGAAAUUCUUGGAUUUAUUGAAGACUAACUACUGCGAAAGCAUUUGCCAAGGAUGUUUUCAUUAAUCAAGAACGAAAGUUAGAGGUUCGAAGGCGAUCAGGUACCGCCCUAGUUCUAACCAUAAACGAUGCCAACCAGCAAUCAGCCUGAGUUGUCUUUUGA
rnacentral:rRNA from 1 species